CAAGUCGAACGUGAUCGUAGCAAUACGGUGAAAGUGGCGGAAGGGUGAGUAAUGCGUAGAUAACCUACCCCCGAAUCUGGGAUAACUCCGGGAAACUGGAGCUAAUACCGGAUGGGGUCGCUGGGUCGCAUGGUUCGGCGACUAAAGGAACCCCCUGAAUAUGGUUCCGUUCGGGGAGGGGUCUAUGUCCUAUCAGCUAGUUGGUGAGGGUAAAAGCCCACCAAGGCUGUGACGGGUAGCCGGCCUUAGCGGGUGUCCGGCCACAUUGGGACUGAGACACUGCCCAAACUCCUACGGGAGGCUGCAGUCGAGGAUCUUCCGCAAUGGGCGCAAGCCUGACGGAGCGACGCCGCGUGUGGGAUGAAGGCCUUCGGGUUGUAAACCACUGUCACUCGUUAAGAAAGGAACUGGUGUUAACAGCGCCAGGGACUGACAAAGGCGAGAGAGGAAGCCACGGCUAACUUCGUGCCAGCAGCCGCGGU
rnacentral:rRNA from 1 species